rnacentral:lncRNA from 1 species
AUCUUGUAAGUUGCAUUAGUGAUACGUUAUUUAUUUACUUAUAAAUAAUAUUAUUUGAAUUAAUAUAAUUUUUUAUCUUAUGAUGUAGAUGAAACAUAAGUAUUUCAAUAAAGAAGUAGGUGCAACCGAUGAGUUGCAUGAUUUAGUAUGUGGUUCCGAUCGAAGGGUUAAUCACUAUACAUCCUGUAUCAUUAGAAAAAUGAGAUUUUACACAAGAGAGUUUGAGAUACAACGAUGGACCC